GAUGAAGAACGUAGCAAAAUGCGAUAAGUAAUGUGAAUUGCAGAAUUCAGUGAAUCAUCGAAUCUUUGAACGCUCAUUGCGCCCGCCAGUAUUCUGGCGGGCAUGCCUGUUCGAGCGUCAUUUCAACCCUCAAGCACAGCUUGGUGUUGGGACUCGCGUUAAUUCGCGUUCCCCAAAUUGAUUGGCGGUCACGUCGAGCUUCCAUAGCGUAGUAGUAAAACCCUCGUUACUGGUAAUCGUCGCGGCCACGCCGUUAAACCCCAACUUCUGAAUGUUGACCUCGGAUCAGGUAGGAAUACCCGCUGAACUUAAGCAUAUCAAUAAGCGGAGGA
rnacentral:misc_RNA from 1 species